rnacentral:rRNA from 1 species
AUUGAACGCUGGCGGCAUGCCUUACACAUGCAAGUCGAACGGUAACGGGCCUUCGGGUGCCGACGAGUGGCGAACGGGUGAGUAAUGUAUCGGAACGUACCUUUCAGUGGGGGAUAACGUAGCGAAAGUUACGCUAAUACCGCAUAUUCUGUGAGCAGGAAAGCAGGGGAUCGCAAGACCUUGCGCUGAUUGAGCGGCCGAUAUCAGAUUAGCUAGUUGGUGAGGUAAAGGCUCACCAAGGCGACGAUCUGUAGCGGGUCUGAGAGGAUGAUCCGCCACACUGGAACUGGGACCGGGUCCAGACUCCUCCGGGAGGCAGCAGUGGUGAAUUUUGGACAAUGGGGGCAACCCUGAUCCAGCCAUGCCGCGUGAGUGAAGAAGGCCUUCGGGUUGUAAAGCUCUUUCGGCCGGGAAGAAAUCGUAUGGGUUAAUACCCUGUGCGGAUGACGGUACCGGCAUAAGAAGCACCGGCUAACUACGUGCCAGCAGCCGCAGUAAAAC